CUUACCUUAAUAGUAAGAGUGACGGGCGAUGUGUGCAUAUUUUAGAGCUAAAAUCAAAACUAUAAUCUUUUAAUUUUUACUAUCAAAUCCACCUUCAUUAUUUUUUUUAAAAAAUAAAUCCGUUUAAAUAAAUUUAUUGUAACCCAUCUCUUCUUAAAUAUAAGCUACACCUUGAUCUGAUAUAAAUUCUAAAUUAAAUUAUUGAAAAUUAUUAUUCUAAUAAAAUAUUCUAAUAACGACGGUAUAUAAACUGAAACACAAAUUUAAGUGAGGUACAUCGUGGAUUAUCAAUUACAGGACAGGUUCCUCUGAAUAGACUAAAAUACCGCCAAAUUUUUUAAGUUUCAAGAACAUAACUAAUACUACCUAAGUGCUUAUUUUUACAUUUUAAAUAAUA
rnacentral:rRNA from 1 species